rnacentral:rRNA from 1 species
UUUAGAGGAACUUGUUUAGUAAUCGAUAAUCCUCGUUUUAUCUUACUUUAUUUUAUUGGUUUGUAUAUCGCCGUUAUAAGUUUAUUUUUUUAGAAUUUAAAAUUUACUAAUAAUUUAAUUUUAUAUUAUUUCAGGUCAAGGUGCAGUUUAUGAUAAAGUUUUGAUUAGUUACACUUGUAUUUAAUUAUACUUAUUUAAUAUUAAUAAUUUUAAUGAAGGUGGAUUUAAUAGUAAUUUAAUUUAUAGAAUUUAUUUGAUUAUAGGUUUUAAAAUGAGUACACAUCGCCCGUCGCU